UCCAUAACCAAAAUUGCUGAUUCCAUCCAAUUUCACACGGGAAGUCAAAACGUAAUCUGGGCUCUAGAGUCCACCAAAGUUAAACCCGCGAUGAAUCGAGCUCCACACGAGCCUUGAGGCUCUGCAGUGUGCACACCAGGAGAGAAAAUAUUGGUGGUUCUCGUUCACCCAUGCUCAAUCUUGGGUGGUUGUCAGGGCCUCUUGAAAAAAGUAUCUGCUGGGCUGGGAGAGAAAGGUUACAAGGCCGUGACCCUUGACAUGAGAGCCGCUGGGAUGUUAAAGUGGGAGGCCUUCUCUCACUGGGUUAUACAAAAUCGAGAUUGUUGUACAUGUCUUCAAGUGGGUCUGUGAGAAUCUGUCUGUCGACAGGAUUUAACGAGUGGGCUCUUCUGCAGGUACUCCAAUUGCCGGUAAGGCGGGGGGUAGCGGGUCUCUACUACUUGGCCUGUCCGUGCUGCAAGGGUCUAGGCGAGAAAAUCUGCCCUUCAACCUGGGCGCGUUCGGGUGGACUCAGUACUAUUGUUUGGCUCAAUGACGUUGGACAUCAAUAUUGUCUAUAGACGAUGGGAUAGCUUUGUUACACAGAUUCACAGCAUCUUUCAUGAGGAUCAGAUUGUUCUUUUGGAUUCUCUGUGCCAUCACGGUAAAAAAAACUGGCCAGCUGUCCAAAGAACUUGGCUUGUUAACCAAGUAUUACAGCCCAAUAAUGUGAGAGAGAGAGAGAGAGAGAGAGCAUGCAUUAUCAAAAUAAUAUUUACAUGGUCAAGUCAUCUUACACAAGCAUUUUCCCAGCUAAGUUAAACUAACAAAAUAACCAAGCCUAAUUUUCUAACCAACAGACCACAAGCCAAGCAUAAAACUUGGUGAUUUUUACAUUACACGGCAUGCUACAUGUAUAUACAUACAUAGGUGUUGAAGUAAACUGUAUGUCAUGGCCUUAUUCUUGUGCAUCGUAGAUGCGACUCUACC